rnacentral:lncRNA from 1 species
UGACUAUCAAUUUGACUUUUGAGUACAAACUUAUUGAAUUUUAAUCAUAACUUAAGUGAAACAAGUUCUAAUCAAAAAUUAAGGAUAAACUUCGAUGAUAGAUUUGAAGCCGCAUAUAGGUGUAAUCUUAUAGCUGCUGAAGCCUGCGUCGAAUAUGAGUUUCUCCCAUUCUUUCUUCUCUCUUUCUUUUCCAUUUAACAAAGUCAUCAUCAUGAAAUCAAAGUCCAAUUUCAACUCAUUUGUUUCAUGAUUGUCACUUGUUUCAUCAAUUGUUUCAUGAAAUCAAAUCAAUCACACACACACACACACACACACACACAGAGAGAGAGAGAGAGAGAGAGAGAGAGAGAGAGNNNNNNNNNNNNNNNNNNNNNNNNNNNNNNNNNNNNNNNNNNNNNNNNNNNNNNNNNNNNNNNNNNNNNNNNNNNNNNNNNNNNNNNNNNNNNNNNNNNNNNNNNNNNNNNNNNNNNNNNNNNNNNNNNNNNNNNNNNNNNNNNNNNNNNNNNNNNNNNNNNNNNNNNNNNNNNNNNNNNNNNNNNNNNNNNNNNNNNNNNNNNNNNNNNNNNNNNNNNNNNNNNNNNNNNNNNNNNNNNNNNNNAGACUUCCUUUGCCUCUUACAUGAGGACUUCUACAAUAAGAGUUUAACAAAUAAAUACGACUGUCUUUAAACUUGAUAUACAAUCAGAGGUAUAAAAAACCUAAAGUGCAAGUGACUUCUGAACACUUAAAAAAUUCUAAGGUUCAAAGUUUGUAAGAAUUUUUCUAAGUAUUUGUGCGCUAUUUAAUUUAAUAGAGUAAUGAUACUUGUAAAAAGAUAGAAGUCUUGUUGUAUUUCUUCAACUGCUCAGGUUCUUAUAUAGGAGAGAAUGAGAGAGACGUUGAUGAAGAGGUGCCAACGCAUCAAUUAAGUGCUUGAGAAGUUUGAUCAGAGACGUAGAAAUAGUCAAUCGAAAAUCAUUAGCUUAUAAUAGAAUGAUCUGUUACAUUAUCUUUAUCCUUGAAAUUUCUUGUUUGUUUCUGCACGAGAUGAGAAUGCGACAAAAUGAACUAUUCAGAGUCUGAUAGAGAUAUUCUUUCAAAAAACAACAAAUUAGGUCAACGUCUUUAGAUGUUGAUGUCAUCUUUAGAUGCUCCAUUCUUCAUAAUCCUUCAGAGUCUGAUUAUAUCAAAAGCUUCAUAACAAAAUUCCUAUUCUGCUUCAUAACAAAAUGCUUCUUCUGAUCAAAGUGUUGAGUUUAUAGUUAAAUUUCUUCAGAUUUUGCUUGAAGUCAUAAUAGCUUCUCUUUUGAUUAGGAUGCUUUCUUAUGCGCUAAAUGUCUUGAUAUUUCAGAGCCAAAACUUGACUUUGAGAGUCAUAAUUUAAUUCUUUGGUCAUACACACUCGAACACACAUUAACAUAUUCAAUUGUUCUUUAUAGUUUGUUAUCAUCAAAACUUCAGAGGUAUUGUUAAGAAUCCAUUUUGGUUUAACACCAGUCAAUUGCUUAUGGUUACAUAGGAGUUAACUUCCAUAACAAGAAAAAGUAUUUUGUGGCGUUCUGAGAGACUUUUGUGAUGGUUUGAACCACAAAAAAUUUGAGGGUCCUGCGAUCGUUAAAAAUUUUAUGUGCCAUGAGUCCUUUUUGUUAUGGUUAUUGUACUUGUAGAGCAUACAAUAUUAGAUGCCUUGUCUGCAAUAAUACUACGCAGAAGCUCGAGCUUUAGGUUAUUUAAGUAAUGAGUUGGGAAUAAUUUUAGGGUCUCUAUUUAUAAUGUUUCUUGUCCCCUGUUAGUGGUAAAAACCUAAGUAGUUCUUUUAAGAUUUUUAAGGAGUAAGUUCUUAUAAAGAAGUACUGAGGGCUACCACCAAAACCAAUCAAAUUACUAACAACCAAAACCAAAGCCAACACCAAAAUCAAAGCAAAACCCCCCACACAUUGAUCAAAAUCCUCAAACUACAUCAUGAAUGACCUUAGAAACAAGUUCCAAUCACUUAUCAACCGCUACUCGCACCAAAACCCCUCCAAAAAACCAUCAAAUAAACCAAACUACUAUAUAACAUCACCUUACCUUAUAUUCGCACAACUGAGCGCAAAUAAACACUCGAAAAUCAAUUAUCCAUGCACUUAUUCAUAUUUGAUCAUCAAGCAACACCCGAUCCAUUGGAUCAAAUACCAUAACAGGACCAAAAACUUGAGUCUAGAAACUGGCCCUCGAUCUCAAGCAAAGACGAUCCGCCCACCACAAUUAAAAAGCAAAUCAAUAAGGCACUGCUCAACUCCUAGUCCACCGCAAAAAGCACCAUAACUAAAACUAAUGCUAGACAUUAACUGAAAUCAUUUAUAUUAGAAUAUUGUCAUUGCAUUUAGGUUGUUUUGUAUUGUUGAAUUUUGAAUUAAUAUGAACAUAUUAUAUGGGUUUGCUUUCUAUUACUGCAUAUAUGUUGUUUUUACAUCAUAACCCUCUACUGCUGUUGUGGACUAUGGUAAAUGCCCCAAGUUUAGUAGUUUGGGUUACACGAUGAUCACAACAAUACUAAAGCCGAAGCAGAGCGAUGUUUGGGUUGGUGAUCAAAAUCAACGAAGCUUGAAGCCAUCUGAUGGAUCUCCGGUACUCAUUAAUCCUUGGUUUAGAUUUUCAAGCUCAACUUAGUGUUUUAUUUGUUUUAGAGUUGUUGUUUUUCCUCUAUUAUUUUGUGAUUCUGAUAUUAAAACAAAUGUAGACAAGAAGCAUAUACGAAAAGAAGUACAAAUUGAGUCUCUGAAGAUUGGUAAAAGGAGGAAUUUUGGAACCAAAUUUAACAUCUUCAAAGAAAUUGACUGGCUAAGAUCAUACAUGGUAAGAAAGUUGCAUAUGAAUACCAAACAACAUAGCACCUUAAUUAACAUUAUUCAGUUGUGACUAUCAAUUUGACUUUUGAGUACAAACUUAUUGAAUUUUAAUCAUAACUUAAGUGAAACAAGUUCUAAUCAAAAUUAAGGAUAAACUUCGAUGAUAGACUUGAAGCCGCAUAUAGGAGUAAUCUUAUAGCUGCUGAAGCCUGCGUCGAGUAUAAGUUUCUCCCAUUCUUUCUUCUCUCUUUCUUUUCCAUUUAACAAAGUCAUCAUCAUGAAAUCAAAGUCCAAUUUCAACUCAUUUGUUUCAUGAUUGUCACUUGUUUCAUCAAUUGAUAUGUCAAUGAUUAUCACCUUUCCUUUUUUCCCUUUUCCUGAAAUAGCUUUUUUGCAAUUCUCUAAUAUCUUUAAGGACAAUUCGUCAUUCCAAUCAUGCAAAAUCCACUGUAAAAAAAAAAGAUUUUAUCUAUAUAGUUAAUAAAUCAAUAUGAAAUAUCAAGCUUUGCUAAAAUCUGUUGUUUAAGAGUAUAUUAGUUCUUCUUUAUUGCCAAGAUUAAUCAGUCAUCAACAAAAUUUGUAAAAUACUUUGCAUCAAUAACAUAAGAAAAUUACUCAUCUCACUUAUGAAAUUCCUCAUUCCCUUAUAUUAGCGGCAGUCCUGCUGCUGACACUUUUAAGAUCGGUUCAUUCGCUUUUUAAGUCGUUCGACCGAUGUUAAAAGUGUCAGCGGUAGUUAACUACCAAUGCUGCAGAUAUAAGAGAAUGGACAGUAAUUUUCAUAACAUAAUUUGGUGAACGUACCUUGAGUAAAACAGCAUCUGCAGAAGGGAUAGAUUCGAACAUAUCUCCACCAACAAAUUUCAAAUUUUCAUCUCCAGAUAAAUUGGCCACAACCUGUGGUUGAUCAAAUACUGUGCAUUUGAGGUCAGGAAAAGCUUCAUGGAUGAGUUUUGUGAAACCUCCUCUUCCACCUCCAACAUCAACUAUAGACUCCAAACCUUCAAACACAUGAUUGCACUCUUUUAGAGCAAGGUUGAAGAUUUGAGAAUCAGCAGCCAUAGCCUCUUGAAACAUACUCAGUUCAUCAGAUUCAGUAUCUUUGUUAAGAUAGUCCCAAAAUGUCUCUCCUCUUGCGCUCUCAAAUAGGCUGAGUUCCUUGUCCUCAGUGAGCCAUUUCUUAGAGGAGUGCCACACGUUCAGACGACAUGGAUGAAGCACUCCGCUAACAAAUGGUGACAAACAUGUUGAUUUGCCACUUAUGAGAAGCAUUGAAGGAGGAGUGAGAGAAUAUGUUGUUUCUUCUUCUCCUUCUUUGCCAUUCAUCAGUGUUGUUUUUGCAAAGAAACCAUUGUGUGUUAGCAGGCGCAAGAGACGAUACAGGACACUAACUUUCGAAGGAUGGAGUUUCAAAGAUGAAGCUAAUUCAGUAAGAGUCAUUGGUUUUCCAUGGUUGUGGAUUGCAUCAGCUAUGCCUAGUUCCACAGCAGAUUUGAGUGCCAUGGAAUUUAUAAAGCUGUAUAUAUGUUUGUACAGAUGGAUUUGAGCAUGAUAUAGCUGACUUUCUUCACUGCCAUUGCUACUGGAAUCCAUUUUCUUGGGUGAUGUCUUGUGUUUCUAAGGGUGUGUAUAUGAAGUGAAGUGUAAACUUGCUUGCAACUCUUCUAUGUUUUGAACAAUGAACACAAUACAAAGGUAUAUAUAGCCUUAUAUUAUGCCCAUGAUCUUUAUUUCUUUCAUAUAAUAUACUUUUGAUGCACGUGUUUUACUAACUUGGGCAUAAAUUGUUUGAUUUUGGCUUUUUCUUACCAUGUGUGUUAUUGUUGGAACACACAUUUUGACACAAAAGUUGAUGAUAUACUUACCAUAUUUAUUUAUAUAUUCGGCAAGCAUUGAACUUUUAAUUAUAUGAUUGUUUAGUGUUUUCCAAUUUCACUACUGCAAUGCAGUUGUUAUCAACAUUUACAACAUAAGUUAACUACAUCAUUAAUCAAAAUAUUGAAAGGUGUUAACCACUUAUUUCAUAUAGUUUAAAAAAGGCAUUAAUAUGUGUUUCGUCCCUGCAAUUAGAGGUCAUUUAAAAAUUGGUUCAUGGAAUCGUUAAUCCUGGCAAAUUACCCUUGCAAAGUUUAAUCUUUUAAAAUUUCGUCCCUUGACUCACUUGACUCACUUAAUGACUGUCAAGUCAUCAAAUUAGCAAAAUGACACAAAAAUACCCUCAUCAUCCUUCUUCUUCCUUUGAAUAAUGCAUACGUGCAGUGUUCAAACCCUCGUCCUCUUCUCCUUCUCAUUCUUCAAACCCCAACCAUCACUCACUACACAGCCUCUUCUCCUUUUCCUUUUAUUUUUAUUUGCAGUUUCUAAUCAUAGAGCAAUUGAAACGGCGGCGUUGCGGUUGAUUCCAAAAAUGGUUCCAGAUCCGAAUCUACACCAAAAACGGCGUUUUUGUUGCGAUUCAGAAUGAAUUGAACAUUCAGAAUGUUCAAUUCGUGUUCAUAAUGAAUUGUUCAAAAUGAUUUCUUGUUGAUUGUUUGUUUCUUUGUGUUCAUUGGAUGAUGAAGCAAGUCUUGGAAUCAAAUGUUGGUGGAUUUGGAAUUCUGGGUUGUAUGAGAUAUGAGUCUCUUGAUUUUUGGCUUUCUGCUUGCUGCUCGCUCGUCUUUCUAAACAUGAUGCUAAUUUUCGUCGCCGUCUUGUUGAUUCAGGUGCCGUCUCCGCCGUGCUUUUCUGUCUUGUUCAAUUUCUGGGUUGUAUGAGAUAUGAAUGUUGUUCAAAGUUCAUGUAAACAAUUAAGUUUUCUUUGAGCAAAACAAUUAAGUUUUCUAAAUAGCAAUGUUAACAGAAAACAAUUAAGUUUUCUAAAUAGUCAUUAACCAUAUUGUAACGCCCCGAAUUUUAAUCCAAACAUUACUAAAAUAAUUACUCUUUCAAAAAGAAAGAAGAUUAUUUUCAAAAAAGUAUGCAUCUACUAAAUUGCUUUUUAAUAAAACAACUUAAGAAAAUAAAAUAAAAUUCAAAGGUAGAGACAAUUCAUUUAUUUCUUUAUGGAAUACAAAUCAAUUUUAUAAUACACCUAAAAAUAUUUUGAAUUACAAAUACAAUUAUAAAACCCAUUUUGGUCCCCGCGCAAUGCUUCAAUCACACAUCAACUUCAUAUUUCAAUCUUUGAUACCUACAACAUUUUAUUAAUGAAAGGGUCAAUUUCCGGUUCCACAUGGGAUCACCUAAACUCAGAAAAAUGUCAUAAAAUAAUAAUAAAAGUACUCAUCAACUAAAAAGGAUUAGAAAUAGAUAAACGAAUAAAGUACACAACAACUAUCUUGUAAGACUCUAUGCAUGAAGUGCAUGAUAUGCAAGACUCAAAUGAUCCGGAAGAAUGAACUCCUCAACGGUUCCUGCAAGGCCCGCCACCCAGUGACAUUAGUCCAAUAAAACUAGACCACUAAUUAAGUGGUCUCUGCAAGACCGUAGCCCAAAGAAAUUAGACCACUAAAUGGUCUCUGCAAGGCCGAAUAGAGCAACAACAGCAGCAAGAGGAACAUGAUAGUGGUAGAUUGCAUAGAAUGAUGGCUUGGAAUGCUAAUAAUGUUAAUGCUAAUGCUGCAGAUGGUGGUAACAGUGGCCAUGGUGCUUAGGUGUGGUAAUGAAAAAACUCAAAUUUGACAGGAAUAGUGAAACACAAACUAUUAAAUUUGUCUUUUGCAGCUGCCUCUCCUUGUUCGUUUUUCAGAAAGAGCCAAUGGAGGAGGGGUAUUUUUGUCAAUUUUCAUGCCAUUUUGUUAAUUUGAUGAUGUGGCAGUGAUUAACUGGAAAUAGUGACGAAAUUUUAAAUGAUUAAACAAUGCAAGGGUAAUUUGCAAGGAUUAGCGAUUACAGAGAUCAAUUUUUAAACGACCCCUAAUUACAGGGACGAAAUACAUAUUUAAGCCUUUAAAAAUUAUAGAACCAUAUAAGUUUCAAAAGUAAUUAACAAUUUACACUUUUUUUUUGGUUAGUACAGUAGUGAAAUUGGUUUAUAUUUGUGUUUCAAACAUCAUCCUCUAUAAUAAAAAAAUAUUGGCAGCGCAUCAAUAAUUUUUUAAUCAGCGCAUCAAAUAUUGUCGUAUUUGAGUCUACAAAAGUGUGUUCAAAUAAUUUUGUUGUUUAUAUCAACGCAUCAAUAUCAGAAAAAUUAUAUGAUUCCAUCUCAUAUUUAUAAAUUUUUUAAAAGUUUAACAGUGGUGGGUUGACGAUUCAAAACAAUUUUGCACAUAUAACUUUUUUUAAUGUGGUGUCUAUUUCAAAAUAGACGGGCUUGCUUGACCACCUACAGCAAAUUAAACACAUGUACACUACUAUAUUAUUUCUUCAUGAGCUGGUUGUAAGCAAAAUAAGCACACGGUCAAUUGUUAUUAUAAUAACUAACGUUAAAAUAGAUACUUACAUGAUAAAAAAAAUAAUUAAGUAAACGGUAAAAUUAAAAAAAAAAUAAUGUUACAUCAAAAUACAAUAUUUUUAUAUGAAGAUAAAAUAUAUUUUUUUUCUCAUAAUGUCCAAUAUUAUUUCAAUUAUUUUUUUAACAAAGAGUUCUACCCAACACAAAGGAGUGCCAAAAUAGAACAAAAAUGGUUUAGCAAUCCGUUACAUUGUAAAAACAAGCAAGCAAAACGAGAAAGAAUAAUUACAUGUCAAUGCCAAAACAUUGUAUGGAAUUAAGUCACUACUGGUUAUGAUGAUCAAAAGUAAAAGUAGUGGUUCUUUCCUUCAACCACAAAAAAGAGAGGAGAUUAAUUUGUCUAAUAGUUGUUAUAACUUUUCUUCCUUGUGAUUAAAAAUUCUAUUUUUCCUUUCUUUCUAAAUAACAUGUUGGAACAAAAUUGGUUUGUACAAUUUCUUUAGAGUUUUGAUGAUAACACAAUAUUGAAGAACAAUUGGACAUGUUAAUAUAUGUUCAAGUGUGCAGGACCAUAUAUUAAAAUUUAAUAAGGUCUGAACAUGUAAAAGAGCAUCAAAAGCAUAAGAGAAGCUAAUAGACUAUGGUAGAAGAUCUCAAGAAAGGUUAAUCAGAAGUCAACACCUUAGAUCAGAAGAAAGAAAGUCAAUCAGAACCUGAAGAUCUACAUUAGACUCUAAAGAAUAGAAGAUCCAGAGGGACCCAAAAUCCACAUCAGAUUUAUCCUCUUAUGUUGGCUUCUUCUGACCAUGUGUAGAAACAAACAAAAAACUUCAAGGACAAAGAAAAUGAACGGAUAAUUCCAGUUUCAACAAAGGAAUUUCAAAUGUCUAAUCAAUGACAUUAUCCAUAUUAGGCAAUGGCCAAACAUCCUUGAUUUGAAGCUUCUCAAUUACUCUUAAUGUGAUGACACUCUUCUCCAACGUCUAACAAAUCAUUGCCUAUCUAAGGAGCUAAAUACUUGAAGAACGAUAAUAAGACUCUGCUCUUGGAUUACUCCUGGAAUGUAGGAGGAAUCAAUAUAAUUGAUUGUGUUUGACCUCUCUCUCUCUCUCUCUCUCUCUCUCUCUCUCUCUCUCUCUCUCUCUCUCUUCGUGUUUGUUUUUAUCUGCAUGUAUCAGACUUUGUGUUUUUUAACUCAUCAGACUCUGACCAGUGCAAAACACUUAGAAAAAGUUUGAAAAAGCCAACACAAUUCAACCUCCCUUCUUGUGUUAUUGUCACCUUUACUUGGUAUCAGAGCAUAGUCUGCGCUCAGCCACUUAAUUGUGCCACAAUUAAAGAUCCAAAGAGAAAAACAUGUCUACUAAUGAGAGUGCUUCUGGUCCUUCUAUUUCAGGUAGAAACCAUAACGCUGCUAUCAACUAUGAUUACAACACCACUAAUGAAAAGUACAACUUUUCUAUAAAACCACCAUCCAUUAAUGGAGAUGCUUGUUAGUUUUCGUGGUGGAAGAGUAAGAUGUACAAUUACAUCAUUGAUGUCGAAGAUAAAUUAUGAGACAUCAAGAAACUUGGUUAAUUAAAUCUAAAGAAUCAGGUUUCAGAAAUAAGAAAAAAGAUAAGAAGAGAUGCUUCAACAGCAAGAAACUUGAUCAUUUCAUUGUUGAUUGUCCAGAGUUACAGAAGGACAAGUCGAAGAAGGAGAGCUCCUAGAAAGAGAG